rnacentral:tmRNA from 1 species
GGGGAUGACUGGCUUCGACGGAAGAGGCUGGUUCCAGGCUGCAAGCCGGGCGGCGCCGAACCCCGAAAACUCAGCGCAAACCUACAAGUGCCAAUCGCACUUCCUAUGCGGCUCUUCCGCUCGCGGCCUAACCCCGCCGGCGGUUGAACCCAGGUCCGCUCACCGAGCUGACCCGUUGACCACGAGCCCCUCCGACGGCGCGUGCCAUCAGCGUGACAAAUGCCGGAGUGCCGCCUCGCUCGCCGUGCGCGGGGCGAAAGACCACAGCGGCUGGUCGGUCCGGUGACCCUGUCUCGCGGGGCCCGGCCGGUGACGCCAAAAUUGCGAGGCUAAGCUUGUAGAGGUCUGUCGCCGAAUCUUUCGGACGCGGGUUCGACUCCCGCCAUCUCCACUG